UUGAAUGUGGUAUAGUGGCUUGAGUGUCAGACUGCAAUUCUGGAGACCAGGGUUUGAAUCCCUGCUCAAC